CCGGGCCCUGGAGGCCCGCCACGCCGAUCUCGUUCGCCUCCUACGCUCGGUGCGUUCCCGGCCAGAGGGGAACCUAGCGGCCGCGACAGCGACGCCCUGCCCCGAGAGGCCCGGCUGCGCCGGCUACUGCGACAGGGAGGCCCGACUCCCCGGGCGGUGGGGAGGGCGGGGGUCUCUAAGAUGGCCUCCUGCGGUCUGGAAUGACUUGCUCGGUGGUGGUGCGGCUGGGCAGAAAUGAUUCGAGUAAAGGCAGCUUCCUCGUUGUGGGGCGGUUUUUUGGUCUUGUUUUGUUUUGUUUCUUGCCGAUAGGUUGGUUUCGCCUUCUCUUUCGGAGGGGAUUGCUCAAGUGUGAAGAACAUUACAGCAGACAGGCGGUUCAGGAAAGGCCUAAAACGGCCAUGUCAUUUUGAACAGAAUGACAUAACUUCUGCCAAAGGUUCAAAAUAGCCAGAAGAAAACCAAAGGAAUCACUGAAGUAGCAGUCAGUAAAAAAUUACUGUGCGGGCCCCAGAAAGUUUGCGGACCGGGAGCAUUCAAACCAAAACAUGGAAUGAGGCUCAGGGUGCUUACCAGUCAUAUCAACUUCGGGAAGCAGUUCAAGUUUUGCUUGUCAUUUCCGGAGACACGAGCAAGAAACGACCAGGUCCAGUUAGCCUUGCAGGAUAAGCCACAUUAAGCUUCGCCAGCAUGACCAAACUGCUUCUGUCUGCUCAGGGACACUUCAAGGGUGGUGUUUCUUGCACUGGCCUUUUCAGCUGGCCACACAGGCCAUUCCAUUGCUCUAUUUCCUGUGGUAGAAGAGCCGAGGCUUUCGAACACGUUGGAUCAUUCCACAGCAAGAAAGAGAGUGUAUAUUACGGCCCAGCACCUACUUACACCGAUAAAACCAUAAGCUUCUCGGCCUCUCUCUCCAUCCGGUCUCCUGGUUUGUGAGAUGAGACUUUCGGCCCCGGGAAUCUCUGGGAUACCUUCCAUGGCCAGCCCUCUACGAUUCUAACAGCGAAGGACGUUUCAUCUGCCGGAAUAGUCUCUCCCCCACCCCUCCUGUAUUUUAGGGUCCCUGUGAAACGGUGCACGCCGUAUCUCUCAAGCUCACUGCCUAGAAAGGGGGCCCAGUCAGCCCAGCGUGCGUGAGACGCUGGAAGGAGCCGGGGCGCAUCUCGGCGUGGGGCAGGGGCACUCCGAGGCCAGAAGGGGUGAUGCAGGUGCAAGAGGAGGGCCAGUUCGCCCCUCCUUCGGGGUUCAGGACGGGUCGGUGCACACGGGAGACGAGCAGGACGGUGCCCCCCGGGCUUCUCGGGGGCGAGACGAGAGCCAGCGUGCUCCCCGUGCUGCCACGGGACGGACACCGGCUCCGCGCGGGUUUGCGGUUCGUGUCAAGCAGGCACAGGGAACUGCGUCCUUGCUCACGAUGGGCUGCACGGCAGGCUGCCCCCAAACAGGCCACUUUGGCCUAUUGACUGUUUUGAACUUAGUUGCAUGAGAAGCAGCGGGCGCAAGGACUCUCUGACCUCCUUUGUGCCCUGGAAGGAAGCAGGACCGAAGUGUCCCCCGUGAAGGUCCCCGUCCUGUCCCGGGAGGAAGGGAGACAGCCUUCUUGCCAGCGAUGGGCACGUCAAGGCCGAGAAGGCUGUGUAAGCAAACCGGCUACUUCUUCGCUGCUUCGCUACCCCAAGCCCCAGCUUCUGUCAGUUCUUCACAGAUUCAUGGUUUCUUUGUCUGAAAGGUGUAAAAGCUGCUAGCUUGGCUCACUUCUUGGAGUCUCCUAUUUCUAUGGGCUCCCAUACGUACACAAUUAAAUUUGUUUUUCUCCUGUUAA